GCACACAUGGCGGAAUUGGUAGACGCGCCAGCUUGAGGGGCUGGUGAGCAAUAGCUCGUGCAGGUUCAAGUCCUGUUGUGUGCA
rfam:Flavobacteriaceae bacterium CG1_02_35_72 cg1_0.2_scaffold_1297_c, whole genome shotgun sequence.